GGGCGGGGAUUAGUGGCGAACGGGUGAGUAACACGUGGGCAAUCUGCCCUGCACUCUGGGACAAGCCCUGGAAACGGGGUCUAAUACCGGAUAUGACCGUCUGCCGCAUGGUGGAUGGUGUAAAGCUCCGGCGGUGCAGGAUGAGCCCGCGGCCUAUCAGCUUGUUGGUGAGGUAGUGGCUCACCAAGGCGACGACGGGUAGCCGGCCUGAGAGGGCGACCGGCCACACUGGGACUGAGACACGGCCCAGACUCCUACGGGAGGCAGCAGUGGGGAAUAUUGCACAAUGGGCGAAAGCCUGAUGCAGCGACGCCGCGUGAGGGAUGACGGCCUUCGGGUUGUAAACCUCUUUCAGCAGGGAAGAAGCGAAAGUGACGGUACCUGCAGAAGAAGCGCCGGCUAACUACGUGCCAGCAGCCGCGGUAAUACGUAGGGCGCAAGCGUUGUCCGGAAUUAUUGGGCGUAAAGAGCUCGUAGGCGGCUUGUCACGUCGGUUGUGAAAGCCCGGGGCUUAACCCCGGGUCUGCAGUCGAUACGGGCAGGCUAGAGUUCGGUAGGGGAGAUCGGAAUUCCUGGUGUAGCGGUGAAAUGCGCAGAUAUCAGGAGGAACACCGGUGGCGAAGGCGGAUCUCUGGGCCGAUACUGACGCUGAGGAGCGAAAGCGUGGGGAGCGAACAGGAUUAGAUACCCUGGUAGUCCACGCCGUAAACGGUGGGCACUAGGUGUGGGCAACAUUCCACGUUGUCCGUGCCGCAGCUAACGCAUUAAGUGCCCCGCCUGGGGAGUACGGCCGCAAGGCUAAAACUCAAAGGAAUUGACGGGGGCCCGCACAAGCGGCGGAGCAUGUGGCUUAAUUCGACGCAACGCGAAGAACCUUACCAAGGCUUGACAUACACCGGAAACGUCCAGAGACAGGCGCCCCCUUGUGGUCGGUGUACAGGUGGUGCAUGGCUGUCGUCAGCUCGUGUCGUGAGAUGGUUGGGUUAAGUCCCGCAACGAGCGCAACCCUUGUCCCGUGUUGCCAGCAGGCCCUUGUGGUGCUGGGGACUCACGGGAGACCGCCGGGGUCAACUCGGAGGAAGGUGGGGACGACGUCAAGUCAUCAUGCCCCUUAUGUCUUGGGCUGCACACGUGCUACAAUGGCCGGUACAAUGAGCUGCGAUACCGUGAGGUGGAGCGAAUCUCAAAAAGCCGGUCUCAGUUCGGAUUGGGGUCUGCAACUCGACCCCAUGAAGUCGGAGUCGCUAGUAAUCGCAGAUCAGCAUUGCUGCGGUGAAUACGUUCCCGGGCCUUGUACACACCGCCCGUCACGUCACGAAAGUCGGUAACACCCGAAGCCGG
rnacentral:rRNA from 1 species